rnacentral:lncRNA from 1 species
UGGUUAUAGAGGUAAUAGGGUUAUAGGGUUUAUAGUGGUAUCGUUAUAGGGUUAUAGUGUAAUAAGGGUUAUAGUGGUAAUAAGGGUUAUAGUGGUAAUAAUUGUUAUAGUGGUAAUAAGGGUUAUAGUGGUAAUAAUUGUUACAGUGGUUAUAAGGGUUUAUAGUGGUAUAUUAAUGUUAUAGUGGUUUAUAAGGGUUAUAGUGGUAAUAAUUGUUAUAGUGGUUAAUAAGGGUUAUAGUGGAAUAAGGGGUAAUACCGGGUAAUGAGGGUUAUAAUGGUAAUGGGGGUUAUAAGGGUUAUUAUG